GCUGCCCUCAAGCCCGGCUUGUGUGUUGGGUCGCCGUCCCCCUCUCCGGGGGGACGGCCCGAAAGGCAGCGGCGGCACCGGUCCGAUCCUCGAGCGUAUGGGGCUUUGUCACAUGCUCUGUAGGAUUGGCCGGCGCCUGCACGUUUUCCAACCAUUCUUUCCAGG
rnacentral:misc_RNA from 1 species